UGAGUGGAGACUUUAAAAGAGAGAGC
rnacentral:piRNA from 1 species